rnacentral:rRNA from 1 species
UACGGAGGGUGCGAGCGUUGUCCGGAAUCACUGGGCGUAAAGGGCGCGUAGGCGGCCUGAUAAGUAGGGGGUGAAAUCCUGCGGCUUAACCGCAGGGCUGCCUUCUAAACUGUCGGGCUUGAGCACAGUAGGGGCAGGUGGAAUUCCCGGUGUAGCGGUGGAAUGCGUAGAGAUCGGGAAGAACAUCAGUGGCGAAGGCGGCCUGCUGGGCUGUUGCUGACGCUGAGGCGCGACAGCGUGGGGAGCAAACAGG